ensembl:snoRNA
ACUUGCUUAGAAAAGAACUUCUCUAAGAAUUGGAGGCAAAGAAAAGUGGAUUUGGAGAAGUCUGGGGCCAGCUUCCUCCCCAGGCUCAAGAUCAACCAUCCCACAUAG